GGCUCAGAUUGAACGCUGGCGGCAUGCCUUACACAUGCAAGUCGAACGGCAGCACGGGAGCAAUCCUGGUGGCGAGUGGCGAACGGGUGAGUAAUAUAUCGGAACGUACCCGGUCGUGGGGAUAACGUAGCGAAAGCUACGCUAAUACCGCAUACGAUCUACGGAUGAAAGCGGGGGACCGCAAGACCUCGCGCGAUUGGAGCGGUCGAUAUCAGAUUAGGUAGUUGGUGAGGUAAAGGCUCACCAAGCCGACGAUCUGUAGCUGGUCUGAGAGGACGACCAGCCACACUGGGACUGAGACACGGCCCAGACUCCUACGGGAGGCAGCAGUGGGAAUUUUGGACAAUGGGCGCAAGCCUGAUCCAGCAAUGCCGCGUGCAGGAUGAAGGCCUUCGGGUUGUAAACUGCUUUGUACGGAACGAAACGGUGAGCUCUAAUACAGUUUGCUAAUGACGGUACCGUAAGAAUAAGCACCGGCUAACUACGUG
rnacentral:rRNA from 1 species